GCGGCCAUGGCGGAAUUGGUAGACGCACUACCUUGAGGUGGUAGCGGGGAAACCUGUGGAAGUUCGAGUCUUCUUGGCCGCACCA
rnacentral:tRNA from 1 species